rnacentral:lncRNA from 1 species
AGAAACAGAGAGGGAGAGAAAGAAGGGAAGGAGGAAAGAAAGAGAGGAAAGAAGGGGAAGAAAUCUCCUAGGAUUCAGGUAAGUUUUUCAAUAUCGUAGUAUAGUAUAUCUAAAAAUACAUUGUGCUUUUAGAUGGUAAAAAUCUAGCUUAGUAUGUAUAGUAGAUUCGGUAUUUAUUUUGUAGUUUAGUAUUUAGAUCUACGGAUAUGUAUGUGUUUUUAGAUGUUAAAAAUGUAGCUUCGUUAGUAUAGUAUUGCAUUCGGUUUUUAGUUCAUAGUUGUAACGCCCGCAGAAAUCACUAGCUAAAUUCACCCGUUAAAAAUUGUCUUUAAAACCUUUUUACCGCUGAGCUCCCGGAAAUCGGGAACCUCCCCGGCGAUUUCGCCGUCCCGGUACCAUGCCGACCCCCACCUAUCUUUUUAUCUGUGCCCGUGAAUCUCGCCGCGUGCCGUUGUCAGACGCCGUGCGCGUGCCCCGACCGCGUGCCGCGAAUGCCGCCGGUCUCUCCCUUUCCCUUUCUCUUUUCCCCCUUUUCCUCCUUUUCUUUUUCCUUCUUCUUUCUUCCUCUUUCUUCUUCCUCCCUUCUUCU